ACAGUGAUGGAAAGAUGAAAAGAACUUUGAAAAGAGAGUGAAAAAGUACGUGAAAUUGUUGAAAGGGAAGGGCAUUUGAUCAGACAUGGUGUUUUGCGCCCCUUGCCUCUCGUGGGCUUGGGACUCUCGCAGCUCACUGGGCCAGCAUCGGUUUUGGCGGCCGGAAAAAACCUAGGGAAUGUGGCUCUGCGCCUCGGUGUAGAGUGUUAUAGCCCUGGGGAAUACGGCCAGCCGGGACCGAGGACUGCGAUACUUGUUAUCUAGGAUGCUGGCAUAAUGGUUAUAUGCCG
rnacentral:rRNA from 1 species